CUGCAGUCAAUUAAGUUGACCUUGCUGCCCUCCCCAUGGUGCCCGGUGUGCAAUGUCUGUAAACAGCAACUUCCUGGGUAGUGGGCUGCCCUAAGGGACUCUGGAGAUAGCC
ensembl:snoRNA SNORA70 Small nucleolar RNA SNORA70